rnacentral:rRNA from 1 species
GGACCUGACUGCUAUCGGAUUGAUACUAAGCCAUGCGAGUCAUUGUAGCAAUACAAGGCAUACGGCUCAGUAACGCGUAGUCAACCUAACCUAUGGACGGGAAUAACCUCGGGAAACUGAGAAUAAUGCCCGAUAGAACAUUAUGCCUGGAAUGGUUUAUGUUCCAAAUGAUUUAUCGCCGUAGGAUGGGACUGCGGCCUAUCAGUUUGUUGGUGAGGUAAUGGCCCACCAAGACUAUUACAGGUACGGGCUCUGAGAGGAGUAGCCCGGAGAUGGGUACUGAGACACGGACCCAGGCCCUAUGGGGCGCAGCAGGCGAGAAAACUUUGCAAUGUGCGAAAGCACGACAAGGUUAAUCCGAGUGGUUUCUGCUAAAGGAACCUUUUGUCAGUCCUAGAAACACUGUAGAAUAAGGGGUGGGCAAGUUCUGGUGU